CCCGCCCCCUGCACGUCGAACCACAGAGCGCCUGAAGAACUGUGCGACUGCGAACCCGUCCGAGCUCCGUGGUCUCGCUCCAGCUAAAGCAACAUGGACACGGAGUUGUUUAUGGAGUGUGAGGAGGAAGAGCUGGAGCCAUGGCAACAGGUGGACGACAGCGUGGAGGAAGAUGACAUGGACUUCAUGGAUGCCUACUGCGAGCCAGUGGAAGAUUCUCUGUCUCCUCUUCCUUCCUCCGACUCUCCGCCCCCCACGACUGUUCCCCCCAUCAUACCUGCCUCGACAGGUGACAGUGUGUGUGUGGUUCGAACAGUUACACACACCAGCUCAGUGCCAUCACCUGUUCGGAUCAUCUCCUCCUCUGUGAGGCCUCCUCCUCCCUCCAUCACCACCUCCUCCUCUUGCCCUCUCCCCUCCUCCACACCCAGUGCUUCAGCUCCGCCCCUGAUGGCUCAGGCUCCGCCCCUCAUCCUGACGCAGACGGCGGGCGGGACGUUUCUUGUCCCAGCUGCCCCCGGAACCGGCAGCACACAGUCCAUCCUGCUGACCACACAGGGCUUCCAGGUCCCGACGGUGGUGAACUCCGGCACAUCUCUGCUCCUGAACCUGCAGCCGGGCCAGACAGUGCAGCCACUCACGCUGAUCCAGUCCCCGUCUCUGGGUCAACUGGUCCGACCCAGUGUGGGCAUGUCCCCGGUCCUCCACCAGGGACAGGCUGUCCAGACCAGACCAGCCCCCACCUUCUCAGGGGGCCCCGCCAAGCCAGGCUCCGCCUUCAUGCAGCUGCCCGCCACCCUGACCCUCCGAGCCAGCACCACUGGACCGGUUAACCUCCAGGUGACCCAGGUGGGUGGAGCCAAGUCCCUAAAGCUGGCAGGUUCCCCCGCCCUCCCCUCAGGUUCAGCCAAUGGAGUCAGCCGGGUCACGGCCCCCAGCAGCGCUCCUCGCCCUGCCCCCUCUGUCACCAUGACGCCCAGCGUUACCACGGCGCCAGCAUCAGAAUCUCCGCGGGUCGUGAUGAGCGUGGAGGAGUUUUACUACGGGACGUUCGAGGGCGACCUGAGCCUCAGGAAACCCCAACCUCUGGGGAUCAAAACCUCCACCUUCACCUGCCACAUCUGCUCCCACCUGGCAGAAAACAACCUGAGGCUGAUGCAGCAUAUGUUGCAGCACUCGGAGCUGAUUGGAGGAGGCGGAGAGAGGCAGUGCUGCCGGUUCUGUUACCGUCAGUUUUCAUCUGAGACUCAGCUGCAAAGCCACCAGGACCAGGUGCAUGGCCACGCCCCCUCCUCAUGCAUGUGUCGGAUCUGUGAGUGGGCGUUUGAGAACGAGCCAGCCUUCCUGAACCACAUGAAGUCCAACCACAAACCAGGGGAGAUGCCGUACGUGUGCCAGGUGUGUUCGUAUCGCUCGUCCUUCUACUCAGACGUCCUGCAGCACUUCGCCAGCUUCCACAGAGAGUCUCGCUUCCUUCUCUGUGUCUUCUGUCUGAAAGUCACCAGAAACCCUGCUAGCUACCAGCAGCACCUGCUCAAACACCAGGCAAAUCAGGCAUUCCACUGUAACAGGUGUCGUCUCCAGUUCGUCUUCCUGAAGGACAAAAUGCAGCACAAACUGGAAAACCACCGCAGCUUCCGGAGACCGGCUAAGCUUGAAGGACUGCCGCCAGGGUCCAAGGUGACCGUCAGGACCUAUGGGAAACUAAAACCUCCAAUGACAUCAGCAGGGAGUCGUCUUCUCCAGAGCCCCACUUCCAUCAUUCAGCCAAUCAAAAUAAAGACAGACGCUCAGAAACCUCUGGUCCAUAAGAGUCCCUCAGUCCCCAGAUCCCCCAGAUCCCCGACCAAGAGGGGUUCAGGUCGUAGAGACCACGUCAGCAGGACAGCCUGUGGGGAUGGAGACCGCCUGGUCUGUCUGGAGUGUGGAACCGAUGCCUCAGAUGUAUCCGCCCACUACCCGACUCACGUCCACUGUCUCUUAUGUCCCUACAGCAGCUGCUGCUCCCGGGCCUACGCCGCCCACAUGAUCCACCACCACGUCUCUCGCUCCACAGAUAAAGUCGUCCCUCUGCACAGACUGCCUCCUCCCUGUGUGUUCCUGCUGCGCUGCUCUCAGUGCGACUUCAGGCCGCAGUCAGCUGAUCAGAUGGCCAACCACCUGCUGAUGAACCCGGAGCAUCACAGCGCCACCUGCUGGACGCAGACCUUCAUCGAACCUGAUGUCCAGUUCUGCCACAGCGUCCAGCCAUCUACAGACCUCAAGGAACCAGACCAGAACCAGAACUUAAUGGACCAGUCCUGGAGGUCGGCCAGUUGUUGGAAACAUCCGUCAGAGAGCACUGACACCCAGUUCUCCAUCCUCCCCUUCACCUGGUCUUGUGGACCCCACCACAGUCUGUCUAAGAACAGCGAUGCCAUCGACUUCUUCAGCCUGCUCUUCCCCACCGCCCUCGUAGACCUGAUCACCAGGGAGACCAACGCCCACGCCAAGACCUCCCGUUUCCUGGGUUCCUGCCCCUCGGACUGGGUCCCCGUCACCUCCCAUGAGAUCAAAGGUUUCAUUGGCCUGGUCAUCCUGAUGGGGAUCCAUAACCUGCCUGAUCCAUCCCACUACUGGUCCUGGAACCACUUCGACAACAGCUACACCUUCUACCGAGCCAUGAGCCUCAAACGCUUCAAGCAGAUAGCCGACAACAUCCGGAUGGGGAGCUUCAUCACCAAUGACUACCGUAGCACUGGUAAGCACAGCGACUCGCUGCACAUCUUCAGGCCUAUGCUGGACAUCCUGGGUGGAGCCAUGUGGAGUGCCUACCAGCCGAACUGUUGCCUGACCAUCGACCGGGCCGUGCUGCCCAGCCUGGAGGAGGAGAGCUCCCGCACCAAGGCCAACCCGAGGACCCAGCCCCAGGUGUGGCUGCUCUGUGACUCCAAAUCAGGCUACUGCCACCGCUUCUUCAUCCAGUUGGGUGAGAAUGUGGGCCAGGACCCAGGCUUCGGUGUGGUGCCAGAGCUGGUGAAGGGCCUGGAGGACAAACACCACCAGCUCUACCUGGCAAACUCCCUGACUUCCAUCCCACUGAUGCAGAAACUUCUGGGUCAGGGCAUCUAUGCCUCCAGCUCCUUCCCUCCACCCAACCCCAUCCUGCCCAGAGAGCUCUGGGAAGAGGGUCAGCUGGAGAAACCCGGGGACUUCCAGCAGAGGCAGUUUGGCCCCCUGUUGGCGACACGCUGGAAGGACAGCAAGGAGAUGGGCUGCCUGUCCACGAACGCAGCUCCAGGUGAAGCUGAUACUGUUUGGAGGCGGUCUCUAUCCAAAGUGGGUGAGCUUGACCCCAUCAGCCGGCCCAUGGCCUUCCGCCUCCUGCAGGAGAACAUGCGGGGGGUCGAUAUCUGCAAGCAGCUGCUGGCCUGUAACCCUCUGGGGGGAAUCCCCCAGGACCGACACUGGCGCAACCUGUUCUGGUUCCUGGUCAACCUGAGCAUCGUCAACGCCUUCAUCGUGCUGCGCGAGAGCCGCAAGGAGAACCCCCCCGCCUGGGUGCAGGAUGGUCUCUUCACCCAGGUCAACUUCCGCAAGCGUCUGGGCAACCAACUCGCCAAGUGUGCCCAGAAACACUUUGAGAAUGUGGAGAUUGCCAGCUCCCGCGGGGUGAGGGGCGAGAUGCCGGAGGAGCCCGUCAAACAGAGACACCGCAUGGGAAAGAUCAGCAGCAUCUCCAAGAGGUGCAAGAACUGCAGCCUGAAGAACGUCCGUCGGGAGAGCGUGUACGGCUGUGUCACCUGCAAGGCCAACCUCUGCAAGCAUCCCAGCUGCUUCUGGGAAUACCAUGGCCUGUCGCCGCUCAACAAAGGAUCUACAAAAGUUGGAUUCGUCAAGGACAGAAUAAGCGGAGCCAUGGAGGUGAUCGAGGUUUCGGACAGCGUAGACGAGGCGAUGGGUCCCGUCGAGGACUUUUCUGAUGAUGAGAAACUGGACGACCUCGAUGAUUUAGAAAAAGCUGAAAUCGUGAAAGAAGAAUUCGUCACAGAGGAUAAACAUCCAACGUCUGGGUCGCCAUCGACGACCAACGGCCAUGUCCAGCCGGCAGCCAUGUUGUCCGGUUGUAAAGAGCGUGAGGACUUCCUGUCGGUCCGCCAGCUGAGGAUUGGCCUGUUUGCUCUGUGUGAUGGACUCCGCCAGGCAUCGCGUGUCUUUUCAACAGAGACUCGGCUCAUCCGGUCUUGGCUCAAGGAGGCCCGGAGACGUUUGAAGCAAACGGAUCCGGAGCAGAAGGUCGGCGGCGGCUCGGAGCGCUUGGUUUCCUGGGUGCUGUCCAUGCGAGAACAGCAGCUUCCGAUCACGGAGACCAACCUCUUCCAUAAAGCCUCCAUGCUGAAGAAGAAGGGAGCUUUCAGUGACUCCUUCCGCAUCUCCUACGACUGGGCGGUGAACUUCCUGCUGCAGCAUCGACUUGGCGUGCGGACCGUCGCCAGAGCCGCUCCCCUGGCCUACAGCCCGCCUCCUUUUCUGGAGGCCAAGGUCAGAUCCUUCCGGGAGUUUACUCAGAGAAUCUUCCAGGUGCACCAAUUGACGGACGCCUCUGUUGGCGCGAUGGACGAACUGUGUCUGUUUGUGGACCUGAGGCUAGCUCAGGACAGGCAUCGCAGUUCAGAAGCCCUGGAGCUAACGGGGUCGGUGCCUCUGGUGACGGUCUACCUGGCGGCGCUGGCUGAUGGCUCCAUGCUGCCGUCUCUGGUGCUGACGUCCAGACCACUGCCAGUCAAAGUCCUGCCGGACUUCGUCCUGCUGCAGCCCAAUCCCGAGGGUCUGUCAGUGGAGGACACGCUGGAUCUCUGGACCUCCAAGGUUUGGCUGCAGCAUCUGUCUGUUCUGGAUCAGCCCAGGAAGUCCAUGCUGGUCUUGGACAGACACCGGGAACACUUGGGAGAUCAGUUUCUUGCCUCCAUCAGUGGAUCACGCAGCCUCCCAUCGGUGAUCCCUGCAGGCUGCUCCUUCUGCCUUCAACCUCUGGAGGUCGGCCUGAAACCAGCGCUGCAGCGCUUCCUGUUGUCUCGCUGGUCCCGGUUCACCGCCAGAAAUCCACCGGAGCUGGACGAGACGGCCCCACACCAGCUCCAAGCAAACGUGACCCAGCUGCUGGUUGACUGGCUGGUGGAGGCGCUGACACGCCUCAACCAGCUGCCCCGCCUCCUGAAGCAGUCCUUCCACCUAACGGGCAUCCUGCCGGCGUCCACUCAGACGUCCAAGGACCAAACGGCUCGGAAACCAGAGGACAUCCAGUCAGAACUCCUCAAGAACAUCACAGAGAUCCUCCUGGGAGCGGAAGCAACAGAAAUGGACUCACCUGAUGUCCUAGAACUGGAGGACGAAGACGAGACAGAGGAUGGACAACAUGGAGAGGAAGAACAGGACACCAAAGAUGAAGGGAUGGAAGUAGAGGAGACGAGAAAGGACAGAGCAGAGAUGGCCGAGGAUAGGAUGGACACUAAUGAUGAAGGUAGGCCAGGGGACAAGGACAAGGAAGGAAAGAUGACAAUAAAUGACAGGGAUGAGAACAUGGAGGACAGUGGAGAGAAAGAAGACAGGACAGAGGAAACUAAGAGAAGAGAGGAAGACAGAAGGCAGGGAGAAACGACAGAGGAGGACAGGACGGAGGAUGAGAAGGAGAUAGAGGAUGACAUGAAGGAGGAAAGAAAGAGGACAGAAGAGGACAGGAAGGAGGAAUCUAGGGCAAUAGACAGGAAGGAGGAAGAGAAGAUUGAGGAGGACAGUGAGGAGGAAGACAAGGAGACAGAAGAGGACAGCAAAGAAAGACGAGAGACCCGAAUCGUGAUCGGGGAGGAAGUCGGGGACGAGUGGAAGAUAACGAAGAGUCGGGCUGAAGGUGUGGAGGCUGAUGAAGACGACGACAGGAUGGACGAGAGCUGAGCAGACAAUGAUGAAGGUCGUAAUUGUCUCAAAAAGAUGUCUUUUAGGACAUUUAGGCCUUGUGUGGUUUUCUGAGACUUUAUUGAUCAUUCUGAGUCCACGUAAAGAAGUUAUGGACUCAGCUGGACCAGAACCUGGAUGAAACUGGACUCUGAAAUCAGACAGUAAAGAUUUUCAGUUUGAUCUGAGCUCCACCUGCUGGAACUGUUGUCAUAGAAACCAGACUGGCGGUGUUUUACAGUCACAUGAUGCGUUGUCUUAUAGUCGGCAGGUCAGACCCUGGUGGUCCUGCCAGUCCUCUGAUGGUGGAGGUUUGAUCCAAGUUGUAUUUCUGGGGAUUGAAUCUAGUUUUCUGUGAUUAAGUUGAAGCUCCGCCUCCAGAUCAGCCAAUCAGAGUCCACAACCAGCUUUCUAAGCAGGCAAAUGUUGGCGGAGCUACAUAGUAAAGAUCAAAAGGAAGGUUUGAAGUUGGAAAAAGUUCAGAGGCCACAAGGUGCUCACCUGGUCAUCACCUGGUCAUCACCUGGUCAUCACCUGGUCAUCACCUGGAGCCUCAUUUAUCAACCUGAGCGUAGCAAAGCAAACUACAGGCGGCGUCUGCGGCGCACUUUUACCUUCAGAUUUAUCAAAGCGUGCACACGCACGUCCUCCACCUGUUUCCGUUUAUAAACUAGAACUAACUCUAAAGCGGUGCAGGGGAGGGUCGCCUUGGUGGCUAUAAAAGGUCAGGUGGACGCCUGUAAUACAUAUUCAUCACAUCAUUUCCAUGGUGGCUCGGGAGGGAAAAAGAGGGAAGAAGUGGAAUUUUUCGGGGUGUGAGACAGAGAUCCUGAUGGACCACGUUGGAAAAGGUAAAAAUGUGUAACUGGUGGACACGGCGUGGACGUUACUGGUGUCAGAAAGACAGAAUAGUGGCAGCAGGUGGAGACGCUGUCAUCACCAGAGGAGUCGGAUCGUACAGAUGGAUAUCAGUCGGUAAAACAUCCGUCUGUCAUGCAGGAGAUGGAAGUUCGAACCACAGAGGGGUGAACAGUAAAACCUUCCAGUCGGGUCUUUGGCGAGACGCUGCAGCCCACAGUAGAUGGUUGUGGAGAAAAGCUGCUAGAUGACAGUAAUGAUGGCGUUCCUGGUGUUCCAGCUGGGUGGGUGGGGCUGCAACUGGGUGGGUGGGGCUGCAACUGUGGGUGGAGAGGGUGAGGCCAGAGACUCCACCCAGCAGCCGUGUCCUCAGAGGAAGUCCUGCAGGUGCAGAGGGAACCAUCACCGCUGUUAACCAGGUGGACAUGAAGCUGUGGGAAAUGGAGACUGGCUGGACAGAAACUGGGACAAUUAUAAAAGGAUUGUGUAAGAAUAAAUAGAUUAAUAAAGGAAAUCCACCUCUAGUGUGUUUUUAUCAGCGUUGCAUCACUUCUAGACCUCCAGUCUGUCCCCCUGCUGGACCUCAGAAUAAAUGACCAAAGCUUCCUUCUCACAUCUUCUUUUACUGACUGGUGAAUGUUGGCAGCAGACUCUCCACCUCAUCAUCUCCUUCAUUUUAUUCUGGUUUCCAGUUUCCAGGUUUCCCAGAUUUUAUUCGUACAUCAGGGUCAGAGUUGCCGUGGGGGUAGGAAUUGCCAUUUAAAUUGCGUUGUUCCCACGCCAGCUUUAGAAAUGAGGCCCUGGUUGUUUCCAAGCUGCACUACAUCCUGGUCCUCCAUCAUUGUCUGAAUGAAGGACCAGGAUACUGGAACUCCGGUCUGAGAUCUGGAAUUAGUCCACUUAAAUACAUCUGAUGCUAAAGUCUAGAAGCUGAUUGGCUGGUCUGGAGCAUGAUGUCUGAAACAUGGCAGUUAAAUAAGUCACAUGACCUGAUGAUGAUGAUUAAUUCUUCCUGUUUUUGUUGUAACUGUGCAGAUGAAGAUGAGAGAAAACGCGACAUCCUGAGAAAUAAAAACCUUUUUAAUUU